CGGUAAUUCCAGCUCCAAUAGCGUAUAUUAAAGUUGUUGCCGUUAAAAAGCUCGUAGUCGAACUUCGGCCUUUGCCGCCCGGUCCGCCCUAUGGGUGUGUACUGGAGCGGUGGAGGCUUACCUCGUGGUGAACGGCCAUGCUCUUUACUGGGUGUGGUCGGGAACCAUGAUUUUUACUUUGAAAAAAUUAGAGUGUUCAAAGCAGGCUUACGCCCGAAUACAUUAGCAUGGAAUAAUAAAAUAGGACGUGCGGUUCUAUUUUGUUGGUUUCUAGAAUCGCCGUAAUGAUUAAUAGGGAUAGUUGGGGGCAUUCGUAUUCAAUUGCUAGAGGUGAAAUUCUUGGAUUUAUUGAAGACGAACUACUGCGAAAGCAUUUGCCAAGGAUGUUUUCAUUGAUCAAGAACGAAGGUUAGGGGAUCGAAAACGAUCAGAUACCGUUGUAGUCUUAACAGUAAACGAUGCCGACUAGGGAUCGGACGAGGAUUUUUAAUGACUCGUUCGGCGCCUGAAGAGAAAUCUUUAAGUCUAGGUUCGGGGGGGGAGUAUGGUCGCAAGGCUGAAACUUAAAGGAAUUGACGGAAGGGCACCACCAGGUGUGGAGCCUGCGGCUUAAUUUGACUCAACGCGGGGAAACUCACCAGGUCCAGACACGACAAGGAUUGACAGAUUGAUAGCUCUUUCUUGAUUUCGUGGUUGGAGGUGCAUGGCCAUUCUUAGUUGGUGGAGUGAUUUGUCUGGUUAAUUCCGAUAACGAACGAGACCUUAACCUGCUAAAUAGCCCGGCCGACUUUGGUUGGUCGCUGGCUUCUUAGAGGGACUAUCAGCGUUUAGCUGAUGGAAGUUUGAGGCAAUAACAGGUCUGUGAUGCCCUUAGAUGUUCUGGGCCGCACGCGCGCUACACUGACCGAACCAGCGAGUUUAUCACCUUGGCCGGAAGGCCUGGGUAAUCUUGUGAAACUCGGUCGUGAUGGGGAUAGAGCAUUGCAAUUAUUGCUCUUCAACGAGGAAUACCUAGUAAGCGUGAGUCAUCAGCUCGCGUUGAAUUCGUCCCUGCCCUUUGUACACACCGCCCGUCGCUACUACCGAUUGAAUGGCUUAGUGAGGUCUCCGGAUUGGCUUCUGGGAGCCGGCAACGGCACCUAGUCGCUGAGAAGUUGAACGAACUUGGUCAUUUAGAGGAAGUAAAAGUCGUAACAAGGUAGCCG
rnacentral:rRNA from 1 species